GAGGAGAGGAGGAGGAGGAGGAGGCCGAGGGAGGAGGGCCUGCUCUGGAGGACUGGGCAACGCCUCCUCUCCUUCCUGCCUCUCUAGGAAUCCAGCCUUCCUCCCCUUAACCCUUCCUCGCCCCUUCAGCUCCAGGGCUGCCUCACAAGCCUUGAACUGUCCAGUUGUCUGCCAUUGGAUGACAACAUCAUUACAUCAGAGUCAGGAGCAACUCAAGAAACUGCAAGUCGUCUCUGGUGUGAGAGAAUUGACGUUGCCCGGGGACGCUUCUCUCAUGUCCUCACAGGGGAGCUGGAGCUGACAGAGGGAGCUCAUCCCACGCUACCUGGAUUCCAACCAUUGCACCACUGAGGCUGAACCAUCAGAUAAUACCACUUUUUACAGGAUUUUUUUUAUUCUGGAGAUACUGCUAAUGUUUUCUCUCCCAGGCGUUUCCUUUAUUUCUGUUUUUGAGUAAAAUGUCUCUAUGCAUCAAA